UGGGGAAUUUUGGACAAUGGGCGAAAGCCUGAUCCAGCAAUGCCGCGUGUGUGAAGAAGGCCUUCGGGUUGUAAAGCACUUUUGUCCGGAAAGAAAUCCUUGGCUCUAAUACAGUCGGGGGAUGACGGUACCGGAAGAAUAAGCACCGGCUAACUACGUGCCAGCAGCCGCGGUAAUACGCAGGGUGCAAGCGUUAAUCGGAAUUACUGGGCGUAAAGCGUGCGCAGGCGGUUUGCUAAGACCGAUGUGAAAUCCCCGGGCUCAACCUGGGAACUGCAUUGGUGACUGGCAGGCUAGAGUAUGGCAGAGGGGGGUAGAAUUCCACGUGUAGCAGUGAAAUGCGUAGAGAUGUGGAGGAAUACCGAUGGCGAAGGCAGCCCCCUGGGCCAAUACUGACGCUCAUGCACGAAAGCGUGGGGAGCAAACAGGAUUAGAUACCCUGGUAGUCCACGCCCUAAACGAUGUCAACUAGUUGUUGGGGAUUCAUUUCCUUAGUAACGUAGCUAACGCGUGAAGUUGACCGCCUGGGGAGUACGGUCGCAAGAUUAAAACUCAAAUGAAUUGACGGGGUCAUAGCUGUUUCCU
rnacentral:rRNA from 1 species